AAUAUUAAAAGUGAAAAAAAAGAAAAGAAAAAAGGAAUGGAUUUUAUUUAGGAAAUUUAGAAAUUAACCCCCAAAACUACAAGCCCUAGUUUUUGUUCGUCUGUCUCUCGACUCUCUCUCUUCCCUCUCGACUCCGCCGCCGGCGCCGCUGCCCCGCGCCGGCCCGUCGCCGCCCACCCUCGCUGCUGCCUCGCGCCGCUGCCGCCCACCCUCGCUGCGUCUCAUCUCCUCCCCAAAUCUCUCUCUCUCUUCGCGAUCUCUCCCUCUUUGAGAGAUAGUCGCCGCCACUGCCGAGGCUAGUUCUGGCCAUAGAAGCGCGCCCCCCCCUCUGUCCUCCACGGCCGCAGCAACGUCAGCCACCAAGCUCGUCGCACUUCCCUCGUCUCCCUUUUAAUCUCCUCUCUCUCUGACUCAAAUGCACGCACACCACACCGCCCCUGAAAUCCUAGAUCUAUAAUCUACAGCCACCUCCCUGUCGAUUCCCGUCGACCACACGGCGGGAAGGCCGCCGACUCCGAGCGCAGCCCAAAGCCCCCUCUUCUCUCCAUACUCCGGCGACAACAGCGGCUCCUUGUCGCCGCCGUGCCCUAGCUUCAAUUUUCGGCAGCGACACCGUCUGGCGAACGACCCUGUAUACGGAUGCUUUUGGGCGAAUCGAUGUUUUGAUUGAAAUGCCAGCAUCAGAGGGUUAGAUAAUUUGAAGGAGAAGAGGCAUUUCUUCUGCAAGAGAAUGAAGAAUUUGAUGAAUAAAUGCAGCACUGAUUGUGGGUACUGGAAAUUAAGUGGCAAAUGCAAGCAAAUUAUGGCUGCGUUCAACCAAUGUUGUAGCAUCCUGAGCAUGUUCAACAUUUGAUUUUAGUAGGGCCUGCUGGAUUCACAUCUGAAACAGAACACAGGUCUGAGUGGCUUACUCGAUUUUGAGCAACAUGGAAAGGUGCCAUUUUAAAUCAUCUCUGGGAGUUUAAUUUUACACCUCAGAAGAUAGUAAGGAAUUUGUUAUUUUCCUUAUAAACUCUGUAAAAGUAAAACUAAUACGCUAGAACUAUGAUAAGCUCUAUGCUUCUCUCCCUCUUGAAUUGUUUUGUUUGUUACACCUUUGCUAAGUUCUUUAAACUUGCUUUGAGCCAUGAUUUACAAUCACAACAUCUAGCCCUAGAAACUAUUUAAUUUUCUAGUGAUGUGGGCCGCAAUUAAAUGUAAUGGAACCUAGCUGCUCUACAUGUGCCGAUGUGCGUGUACUUAUUGGGUAUACCUUGCAAAUCGAGAUCAUAGAACAUGUCAUAUUUCACUUUAAUCAAGUGUACACUUGGCAACCAAGAAUACCAAGGUUCAAAUAUUGAGAGGUGAAAUUUGUAGCAUGCCUGUUUCUUUGGGAUAUCAUGAGUCAUCAUGUCUGAUAAUAUCAGAAUAUUCAUGUGGCUGUGAAAAGUAAUUUCUUUUGUCUAUACACGUGUUCCUUGUUAAUCUUGCCAAGGCUUAUUUUAAGAGUUUGAGUACUCAUAGCCCCACUUAUGUGAAGGAUGAUUUCCCUGCCUAUUAUGCUUCCUAUUUCGUUUAGAAAUCUCUUCAUUGACUGUCACUGCAAUUUAGAAUUUGUUAGAUACUGAUAUUAUAUCUUUAGAUUGGAGUAUAUUUUAAUAAAUGUACUAAAUAGUGUGCUCCACAUGUUUUUUAUUUUUAUGUGAUGACAUGUUGCUACUGUGUAAAUGUUAUUGAAGGUGGAGGUUAGGUUUCUUAUGUUUAGUUAAUUGCUCUUAGUUUUGGGUUUUCAUGGUUUC